rnacentral:lncRNA from 1 species
GAGUAGCCACGUAACAGGAAAGUGCUGGUCAGCUGUAGAACUUCCUGAUGGCUCCAGGUAUAUGCAAUUUUUUUUUUUCUUUUUUGCCAAUACAGGACCACUUUUUGCCUGUUAUCUGUCUUUGUUUUAAUUAUACAGGUAACAUCAAUUUAGAGAUAAGCAAGGGAGACAGCUUGUCAAAUUCCUUUAACUUUGUAAACACGCCAACAAGGCAAAAAAGAAUGACACGGUGAGGGAUCCGUGAAGCAAAAGCCAAUUUCCCAUUCUUGGGGUGGGCCUUCUCUUCUGGGA